GGGGGGUUAGCUCAGCUGGGAGAGCGUCUGGUUCGCAAUCAGAAGGUCGUGAGUUCGAUCCUCAUACCCUCCACCA
rnacentral:tRNA from 2 species